rnacentral:rRNA from 1 species
UACGUAGGGUGCAAGCGUUGUCCGGAAUUAUUGGGCGUAAAGAGCUCGUAGGCGGUUCGUCACGUCGGCUGUGAAAUCCCGAGGCUCAACCUCGGGUCUGCAGUCGAUACGGGCGGACUGGAGUACUGCAGGGGAGACUGGAAUUCCUGGUGUAGCGGUGAAAUGCGCAGAUAUCAGGAGGAACACCGGUGGCGAAGGCGGGGUCUCUGGGCAGUAACUGACGCUGAGGAGCGAAAGCGUGGGGAGCGAACAGG